rnacentral:rRNA from 1 species
MUKCSAWWGAUAUUGUUGAAACCUGCCCAGCAGAAAGACCCGUGAACACGUUACAACACUCGGGGGGGCGAGGGGCGCCGCGCGCGCCUUGAUUCCCCCCACGCCGAGUGCGCGUGGCUUUGCCCCGCGUCCCCGGACACUAACCAACCCCGGCGCGGAAUGCGUCAAGGAAACAUAAACAAACGAGCUUCUGCUGCAGCCCCGGACUCGGUGCUUGCUGCGGCGGACGUGUCGUGUUUCGUUUAAGUCUUAAAACGACUCUCGGCAACGGAUAUCUCGGCUCUCGCAUCGAURAAGAACGUAGCGAAAUGCGAUACUUGGUGUGAAUUGCAGAAUCCCGUGAACCAUCGAGUCUUUGAACGCAAGUUGCGCCCGAAGCCAUCCGGCCGAGGGCACGUCUGCCUGGGCGUCACACACCGUUGCCCCCCCUAAAUCCCUUUGGCGCCGUCCAUAUGGUGCAUGGGGACUACGGGGGGCGGAUGAUGGCCUCCCGUGGGCCUUGACCCGCGGCUGGUCUAAAUUUGAGUCCCCGGUCACGGUUGCCGUGGCAAUAGGUGGUCGUCGAACAUUCGGUGCCCCGCCAUGUGCUCUGGACAGAAAGCAUCGGGAGACUUUACAAACUCGACCCCGACGCACCCCACGCGGGUGCUUCCAACGCGAACCCAGGUCAGCG